rnacentral:rRNA from 1 species
UACAGAGGUCUCAAGCGUUGUUCGGAUUCAUUGGGCGUAAAGGGUGCGUAGGCGGCGCGGUAAGUCGGGUGUGAAAUCUCGGGGCUUAACUCCGAAACUGCAUUCGAUACUGCCGUGCUUGAGGACUGGAGAGGAGACUGGAAUUUACGGUGUAGCGGUGAAAUGCGUAGAUAUCUGGAGGAACACCGGUGGCGAAGGCGGCGUCCUGGACCAACACUGACACUGAUGAGCGAAAGCCAGGGGAGCGAACGGG